CGCGUAGGUGGUCUCGAAAGUCCUGUGUGAAAUCCCUUGGCUCAACUGAGGAACUGCACAGGAAACUCCGAGGCUUGAGUUCGGGAGAGGGACGUGGAAUUCCGGGUGUAGCGGUGAAAUGCGCAGAUAUCCGGAGGAACACCGGAGGCGAAGGCGGCGUCCUGGACCGACACUGACACUGAGGCGCGAAAGCUAGGGUAGCAAACG
rnacentral:rRNA from 1 species